rnacentral:tRNA from 6 species
GGGUCGUUAGCUCAGUCCGGUAGAGCAGCGGACUUUUAAUCCGUUGGUCGCGGGUCCGAUUCCCGCACGACCCACCA